rnacentral:tRNA from 1 species
GAGACGCUAGUCUAAUUAAGACAGCCGAUUUCGACUCGACAAAUUAUGGUUUAAGUCCAUGGUGUCUCU